AGCGGUACGCGAGCUGGGUUCAGAACGUCGUGAGACAGUUCGGUCCCUAUCCGUCGCGGGCGCAGGAAAUUUGAGAGGAGCUGUCCUUAGUACGAGAGGACCGGGAUGGACGUUCCGCUGGUGUACCAGUUGUGCCGCCAGGCGCAUCGCUGGGUAGCUAUGAACGGAAGGGAUAAACGCUGAAAGCAUCUAAGUGUGAAGCCCCCCUCGAGAUGAGAUUUCCCAUUCCUAUAUGGAAGUAAGACCCCUGAAAGAUGAUCAGGUAGAUAGGCUGGAAGUGGAAGUGCAGCGAUGCAUGGAGCGGACCAGUACUAAUCGGUCGAGGACUUAACCAA
rnacentral:ncRNA from 1 species